GGAUUAGAUACCCUGGUAGUCCACGCAGUAAACUAUGAGUGCUAGUUGUCGGGGUCUUAGACUUCGGUGGCGAAGCUAACGCGUUAAGCACUCCGCCUGGGGACUACGAUCGCAAGAUUAAAACUCAAAGGAAUUGACGGGGACCCGCACAAGCAGUGGAUCAUGUGGUUUAAUUCGAUGCUACACGAAAAACCUUACCAACUCUUGAAUCCCAUUGACCAGUAAAGAAAUUUACUUUUGGAGCAAUCCACAGUGGAGACAGGUGUUGCAUGGCUGUCGUCAGCUCGUGCCG
rnacentral:rRNA from 1 species